rnacentral:ncRNA from 1 species
GGAAACACGAGGACGGAGAGAGUAUGUGCAGAUUUUCUUUUACAGAGAAGUUCCGGGUGCUGAGAGGAACAAAGAGGACUGUGCGGAAGAUGGCUCCUGAGAGGCGCACCGAACUGUAACCUGACAUAAGCAGCAGGGGCAGCAAGGCUGCGACAGGUUCCGCCUGUUACAGCGGGAAGGUAUGCAGGUACCUGAUGAGGUCUGUGCUGUGAGGCGCGGAUAAAAAGAAGUGGUAACACGGGUGGAAAUGCUCGUCUUCUCA